rnacentral:lncRNA from 1 species
GGGAUUCGCUAGCGGCGCCCUCUAGUGGCGUUUCGCGGAGCCUUGGCGGAAACCCUACUGGGAGCCGGUGUGUCCCCCAGUAACAUUUGCAAAUGAAAGAAGGUAAUUCCCUCUGCAGCCCCCCGACAAGUGACCUUGCUCUUUUCUCCUUGGCCAGUGGGAAGCAAACUCAGGAGCUCUGGCCUUAGGAGAUGGGAGGAAGACUAAAGCAGCAGUUCUCAAAGUGUGAUCCGGGAGACCCUGCAGAUCCCAAGAUCCUUUCUAGAGUUUCGGUGGGAGAACUAGUUUUAGAAUUAUAGACGUCAUUUGCCUUUUAAACUCACAAUGGAAUUUUCCAGAGGCGACCUGAUGUCUAAUGAUGACACUGCUCUUAUGACCAAAGGAAUGUGAGCUCGUAUAUUCUUUUAGAAUUUCCUAAGGCACUCAUGAAAGGUGGCCGGGUACCACUGUAUCAAUGGCCCAGUUGCCCAUCUCCUGGCGAGAGAUUUCCCUAAGUGACCUGGAAGUGUCACUAUUACCACCGCCCCACAUGAAUCUUGUGCUGGAGGCGACUAGAGCUGUGUGUCCCUCAGCAGAAGCAGGUGGCAUAAGCAAGAGUUCCAUUUUGGUUUCAUUUUCAGAGGACCCCAAUUGCGCAGUCUGCAAGAAAUAAUGUGCCUCUCAGGAUGGUUCCAAGCUGAGCCCAAAUCACUGAGGGAGAUUCACUGCUUGCUAACAUGAACUUUAUUCCUGGAUAAACAAGUCCCAAACCGUCUUGUCCAUAUGCCACCACGGUCAGGUCAAAACACACAUUAUCAGCUGGGUGCGGUGGCUCACGCUUGUAAUCCCAGCACUUCGGGAGGCCGAGGUGGGCGGAUCACUUGAGGUCAGGAGUUGGAGAUCAGCCUGGCCAACAUGGUGAAACCCCGUCUCUACUAAAAAUACAAAAAUUAGCCGGGCGUGGUGGUACGUGUCUGUAGUCCCAGGUACUCAGAAGGCUGAAGACAUGAGAAUCGCUUGAACCCAGGGGGCGGAGGUUGCUGAGCUGAGAUCAUGCCACUGCACUCGAGCCUGGACAACAGAGUGAGAUCCUAUGCCAAAAACAAACAAUAAAAACCAACAACAAAAAA